UUGUUCUGGAGAUUUAUACAGCAUAACUGAAAAUACUCUGAAAGGAUCAGCCAAGGCUGCAAUUUUAUAAUCAGAAAGAAUCAGUUUUUAAAAGUGGCCAAAGGAGAGUUGUUGAGCUUUAGUUUGUGUCUCUUUUGAGAAACAGGCACUUCCAAAAGUAUUUUGCUUUUAAUUGUUCCUCUUUUUGUUUUGAUUUUCUUUUGAACAGCAACAGGGAUUUUAUCCUCUCUGAAGAAGUGUGAAAGCUUUUCCUGUAAUUUCUUGCAUCACCCCAAGAGGCAGGAAAGUCUGGAGGGUGCCAGAAUGUCCCACCAUUAACAUGGCGGUGGUGCCUCCCAGGACACAAACCCUUCCCGAGCAAAGAGCGCAGCACCUUUGGGGGAACGAUGUGGAAUAAAACCGCUGAACUCCAGCAGAGCUCUGGCCAAACCAAACUCCCACUCUUCACGCUCUUUGCAGCUGAACGAAUUGAACAUCGGUGGGAACGACGAAAUUCCCCUUCCCUGGGAAGAUGCAGGGGGUGAUAACACGCGGCAAAUUUUCCCAGCGAAAAUACCCCAAAAUAUUUCAGCUAGUGGCAAGUCCGUCCCAGUCAGAAAUCCUGCCCAGCCUCUCCUAACAAAUUAUAAUGCGCCCAUUCUGCAGUCCUUGGCACAUGCCGCAAACAUUUUCCUGUCAGUCGUGGCUCCGGGGGCUUUGUGUGCCAGAGCUCCAGAUGAGUCAUUAGGAUGCUGAUGGAGGGGGAGGAAUGAAAAGAAAAAACAAAACCAAGAA